rnacentral:sRNA from 1 species
UUAAUUUUUAGUAUGGCCCAAUAAAACCCAUAAACAUAAAACAUUGAAUAUUACCGGAUCCGGAUAUCCGGUCAUAUUUUUUAUGAUUAUCCGGAUCCGGCGGAUAUAAAAUAUUACUAUCCGUAUCCGGAACCGUUUCACACGGAUAUCCGGUUUUUCGGAUCGGAUCCCGGUUCCAGAUACGGAUACCCGCGGAUCCCGGAUAUUUGUUCCAGGGCUAUUGGCUAUAUAUGCAAGAGGGAGAAGGAGAAGAAAGAUAUCACAAAAAAUUUCCAAAUCCCCAUUAUCGAAACCAUGAGUUCCGUGGGAGUAUUUU